rnacentral:rRNA from 1 species
CUUGAAACCCAAAGGACUUGACGGUGCCCCACCCCCCCUAGAGGAGCCUGUUCUAUAAUCGAUAAUCCCCGCUACACCUCACCACUACUUGUAUUUUCAGCCUGUAUACCGCCGUCGUAAGCUUACCAUGUGAACGCCCCCACAGUAAGCCUAAUGGGACCCCCCCCCCUCCCCCCCCCCCAUACCUAAUCCAAUAUCGCACCCUAGAAGAGGCAAGUCGUAACAUGGUAAGCGUACUGGAAAGUGUGCUUGGAAUAA